CGGACGGGUGAGUAACACGUGAGCAACCUGGCUCUAAGAGGGGGACAACAGUUGGAAACGACUGCUAAUACCGCAUAACGUAUCGGGAUGGCAUCUUCCUGAUACCAAAGAUUUUAUCGCUUAGAGAUGGGCUCGCGUCUGAUUAGAUAGUUGGCGGGGUAACGGCCCACCAUGGCGACGAUCGGUAGCCGGACUGAGAGGUUGAACGGCCACAUUGGGACUGAGACACGGUCCAGACUCCUACGGGAGGCAGCAUG
rnacentral:rRNA from 1 species